GGCCGUGUGGCGAAAUGGCAUCGCGUCUGACUACGAUCACGAUACUAUGAGGUGUUAUCAGGAGAUUGCAGGUUCGACCCCUGUCUCGGUCA